CUCGAAAGAGUAGCUAAUACCGCAUGAGAACUGAGGUUGAAAGCAGGGGAUCGUAAGACCUUGCGCAACUGGAGCGGCCGAUGGCAGAUUAGGUAGUUGGUGGGAUAAAAGCUUACCAAGCCGACGAUCUGUAGCUGGUCUGAGAGGACGACCAGCCACACUGGGACUGAGACACGGCCCAGACUCCUACGGGAGGCAGCAGUGGGGAAUUUUGGACAAUGGGCGAAAGCCUGAUCCAGCAAUGCCGCGUGCAGGAUGAAGGCCUUCGGGUUGUAAACUGCUUUUGUACGGAACGAAAAGCUUCGGGUUAAUACCCUGGAGUCAUGACGGUACCGUAAGAAUAAGCACCGGCUAACU
rnacentral:rRNA from 1 species